rnacentral:rRNA from 1 species
UAAGACGAACCGUGCGAACGUUGUUCGGAAUCACUGGGCUUAAAGGGCGCGUAGGCGGGCAUUCAAGUCAGGGGUGAAAUCCCCCAGCUCAACUGGGGAACUGCCUCUGAUACUGGGUGCCUCGAGUAAGGUAGGGGCAUGCGGAACUGAUGGUGGAGCGGUGAAAUGUGUUGAUAUCAUCAGGAACUCCGGUGGCGAAAGCGGCAUGCUGGACCUUCACUGACGCUGAUGCGCGAAAGCUAGGGGAGCGAACGGGAUUAGAUACCCCGGUAGUCCUAGCCCUAAACGAUGAGUACUAGGUUGUAGUCUUGACAUGGGAUUACAGCCGGAGCAAAAGUGCUAAGUACUCCGCCUGGGGAGUAUGGUCGCAAGGCUG